GUGCUUGUUUCGGCAGCACAUGUACUAAAAUUGGAACCAUACAGGGAAGAUUAGGAUGGCCCCUAUGCAAGGAUGACAGUGUUCCGUAAAAAAAAAUUAAUAAAAAC